rnacentral:rRNA from 1 species
AGUGAACGUUGGCGGCGUGGAUUAGGCAUGCAAGUCGAGCGAGAACCGUAGCAAUACGGGGACAGCGGCGAAAGGGACGGUAAUGUGUAGGUACCUACCCCCGGGUUCGGGAUAGCUGCGGGAAACUGCAGGUAAUACCGAAUAAUGUCUCCGGACCAAAGGUGUGAUUCCACCUGGGGAGGGGCCUGCAUCCUAUUAGCUUGUUGGUGGGGUAACGGCCUACCAAGGCGACGAUGGGUAGCGGGUGUGAGAGCAUGACCCGCGUCGUUGGGACUGAGACACUGCCCAGACACCUACGGGUGGCUGCAGUCGAGAAUCUUCGGCAAUGGGCGCAAGCCUGACCGAGCGACGCCGCGUGCGGGAUGAAGGCCUUCGGGUUGUAAACCGCUGUCGUAGAGGAGGAAAUGCAGGGGGGUUCUCCCCUUUGCUUGACCUAUUCUAGGAGGAAGUACGGGCUAAGUUCGUGCCAGCAGCCGCGGUAA